AAUCACUCUAGCAAUAUAAUACUAAAAGUUUGAUAAUACUGAGAAUAUCAACAUGUCCUCUAUUCCAGGUUGACAUUUGAUUUGUGAAACAUUCUAUAUUUUU
rnacentral:sRNA from 1 species